GACGAACGCUGGCGGCGUGCUUAAUACAUGCAAGUCGAACGGAAAGGCCCUGCUUUUGUGGGGUGCUCGAGUGGCGAACGGGUGAGUAACACGUGUGUAACCUGCCCUUGACUGUGGGAUAACUUCAGGAAACAGGGGCUAAUAUCGGAUAUGAGCUCCUGCUGCAUGGGGGGGGUUGGAAAGUUUCGGUGGUUGGGGAUGGACUCGCGGCUUAUCAGCUUGUUGGGGAGGUAGGUGCUUACCAAGGCUUUGACGGGUAGCCGGCCUGGGAGGGUGACCGGCCACAUUGGGCCUGCGAUACGGCCCAGACUCCUACGGGAGGCAGCAGUCGAGAAUAUUGCACAAUGGGCGGAAGCCUGAUGCAGCGGCGCCGCGUGCGGGAUGCCGGCCUUCGGGUUGUAAACCGCUUUCGCCUGUGCCGAAGCGUGAGUGACGGUAAUGGGUAAAGAAGCACCGGCUAACUACGUG
rnacentral:rRNA from 1 species